rnacentral:rRNA from 1 species
UAACGAAUCUUCCGCAAUGGGCGAAAGCCUGACGGAGCAAUGCCGCGUGUGGGAUGAAGCGCCUUCGGCGUGUAAACCACUGUCAGGGAACAGAAACAAUGAUCGCUCCCAAAGGAAGUGGCGACUAACUCUGUGCCAGCAGUCGCGGUAAUACAGAGGCCACAAGCGUUAGUCGGAAUCACUGGGCUUAAAGGGUGCGUAGGCGGAGUUGUAAGUGUUCUGUGAAAUCCCCCGGCUCAACCGGGGAACAGCAGGGCAUACUGCAAUUCUCGAGGAACGUAGGGGCGGGCAGAACAGUAGGUGGAGCGGUGAAAUGCGUAGAUAUCUACUGGAAUGCCGAUGGGGAAGCCGGCCCGCUGGGCGUUUCCUGACGCUGAGGCACGAAAGCGUGGGGAUCAAACAGGAUUAGAUACCCCGGUAGUCC